CUAAAAUUCUCUUAGAUCUUAGCUUCUUCAAAAAAGAAAAACCAAAAACAGAAGAAAAUAUAACAGAAAUCCAAAAAAUAUUGUUAUGUUCCAAUUUCGUUGGAUGAAUUCAAGUUUUAGGGGGUAAUUAGCAUUUUCUAGUUCAAUAUUCAGUAGCUGAAGUAUCCGGGGUUGAUUUCGAGAAGUUUUAAGCUUAAUUAGAUUGAUUCUGUGUGAGAUUUGGUUUUGUGGAGAUGUGCUAAUGUUUUGAUGGUGUGACUGAGUGCAUCUUGGGUUGUUUUGGUUCAAUUUACUGAUUUCAUUUGAGUUCUCAACCUUUUUGGGAUUUAUGGACUCAUUCUCUGGGUUGUGUGUUGUUUUGUACUGCUAAAACUUGCCUGCUGCUACUGCUGCUGUUCUCCUGCUUCUGCUGACUCUGUUCUUCUUCUAUUGUAAUUCAAAACCAGGUACACACUUUCAAGCUUGAAUCCAUGCAGUGUAUUCAGUUGAAAAUGAAUUAAACAAGAGCGUGAUUUGUUAAAGGCUUCAUUAGUUCUCAUAUUCUCAUUAUCCUUGAUUGCAAAUAUUUAGUUGUAUCGGACUGUUGGUUUAUUUGGACUGUGUGAUUUAUUUGGAACAUGCUUAUGUGGAAAUGAACAUUGGAGUCGAUAUCACAAUUUAAUUAUUAGUCACUUUAGAAAGUCUCACAUGACUAAUUGCUCCAAAGCUACCUGAGGUGUGAAAUUGAAUUUGCAUUCUCGAGUGAGCAUGUGUAUGGAAUCUGAUAAUGGAAGUCCAUGUUUGUCAAGUUAAUUCAUUGACUUUGAUAGCUUAAUUUAGCUAGUGAUACUUUAGCUUGAUCAACACAUCCAAGUUAAUUGGCAGUGAGUGGUUCAGUCAUACUUAAGUGAAUAUGGAAUUAAUAUCAAAGUAGUCAAUAUCAUCCAUAUUCGAAUAGAACAACUUGUCGUACUCUUGCUAUGCACUUUUGUUGUAGAUAUUAUGAGCACAUCGAGUUUCUGUUCCGGCAAUAUUGUAGCACUUAUGUUCCUCUAGAGGUUCAUAGAUAGUUGUCGACUUAUGUAUAGUUUGGAUAGCCUCGUUAGCUGAUUUUUGUUGUAUAGUCUCUUAUGGCAGCUUGUCAGCUUGUACCUUAUAUAUAGCUUCAUGACAACUUUGUCGGCCCAUGUUAUGUAUGUUCAUGUCACUAUCUGUCAUUGUUGGUUGUUCAUGAUUUAUGUCUACCAUUUAUAUUGAUCUCGUCGGCCCUUAUAGAUAAUAAAAAGGGUUAGAUAAAAUGUAUGUUGGUGCUCAACAGGUAUGACCUGGGUGCCAGUCAUGGCCCUCCAGUUUGAAUCGUGACAAUAACUUCGACGAAGUAGUGACGAGGCUAUGACAAGAUACUCAAAACAAACCUGUAUAAAUAAUGAUAAUAACAUAAAACAUGAUAAAUAGAGGUAGUAAACUCGUAUAGACGGACUCAAUUCAACUACCAGAGGGCCCCAGAAUAACACGUUCUCACAUCACAGUACUAGAAUAAAUUCUACAACAUCUACCGUUACUGCACAUUAUACUCUAUUGACGCAAAUCGAUCCAAAAUUAUAUCUCAAUAACAAGUCUUUUCCAUUGCGAGGCGUAAUCGAUCCACAAAUAUAUAU
rnacentral:lncRNA from 1 species